rnacentral:rRNA from 1 species
UGGGGAAUAUUGGACAAUGGGCGCAAGCCUGAUCCAGCAACGCCGCGUGGAGGAAGAAGGUCUUCGGAUCGUAAACUCCUGUCAGGUGGGACGAAAAGCCGUCGGCAAAUAGUCGGCGGUCUUGACGGUACCAUCAGAGGAAGCCACGGCUAACUACGUGCCAGCAGCCGCGGUAAUACGUAGGUGGCAAGCGUUGUCCGGAUUUAUUGGGUUUAAAGGGUGCGUAGGCGGCCUACUAAGGCAGUAGUGAAAUAUCACAGCUCAACUGUGAGGGUGCUAUUGAUACUGAUGGGCUUGAGUACAGAUGAGGUAGGCGGAAUUGACGGUGUAGCGGUGAAAUGCAUAGAUAUCGUCAAGAACACCGAUAGCGAAGGCAGCUUACUAAGUUGUAACUGACGCUGAUGCACGAAAGUGUGGGGAUCAA